AACGAACGCUGGCGGCAUGCCUAACACAUGCAAGUCGAACGAGACCUUCGGGUCUAGUGGCGCACGGGUGCGUAACGCGUGGGAACCUGCCCUUAGGUUCGGAAUAACUCCCCGAAAGGGGUGCUAAUACCGGAUAAUGUCUUCGGGCCAAAGAUUUAUCGCCUUUGGAUGGGCCCGCGUUGGAUUAGCUAGUUGGUAGGGUAAAAGCCUACCAAGGCGACGAUCCAUAGCUGGUCUGAGAGGAUGGUCAGCCACACUGGGACUGAGACACGGCCCAGACUCCUACGGGAGGCAGCAGUGGGGAAUAUUGGACAAUGGGCGAAAGCCUGAUCCAGCAAUGCCGCGUGAGUGAUGAAGGCCUUAGGGUUGUAAAGCUCUUUUACCCGGGAUGAUAAUGACAGUACCGGGAGAAUAAGCUCCGGCUAACUCCGUG
rnacentral:rRNA from 1 species